rnacentral:rRNA from 1 species
UACGUAGGGUGCAAGCGUUAAUCGGAAUUACUGGGCGUAAAGCGUGCGCAGGCGGUUUUGUAAGUCUGACGUGAAAUCCCCCGGGCUCAACCUGGGAAUUGCGUUGGAGACUGCAAGGCUGGAGUCUGGCAGAGGGGGGUAGAAUUCCACGUGUAGCAGUGAAAUGCGUAGAGAUGUGGAGGAACACCGAUGGCGAAGGCAGCCCCCGGGUCAAGACUGACGCUCAUGCACGAAAGCGUG